rnacentral:rRNA from 1 species
AGCGAACGCUGGCGGCAGGCUUAACACAUGCAAGUCGAGCGGGCAUAGCAAUAUGUCAGCGGAAGACGGGUGAGUAACGCGUGGGAACGUACCUUUUGGUUCGGAACAACACAGGGAAACUUGUGCUAAUACCGGAUAAGCCCUUACGGGGAAAGAUUUAUCGCCGAAAGAUCGGCCCGCGUCUGAUUAGCUAGUUGGUGAGGUAAUGGCUCACCAAGGCGACGAUCAGUAGCUGGUCUGAGAGGAUGAUCAGCCACAUUGGGACUGAGACACGGCCCAAACUCCUACGGGAGGCAGCAGUGGGGAAUAUUGGACAAUGGGCGCAAGCCUGAUCCAGCCAUGCCGCGUGAGUGAUGAAGGCCCUAGGGUUGUAAAGCUCUUUUGUGCGGGAAGAUAAUGACGGUACCGCAAGAAUAAGCCCCGGCUAACUUCGUG